rnacentral:lncRNA from 1 species
CCCAAAACGAGACAGAAAGAGCAAAAUCCUUCCUGUGGUGGAGCUGCUGUGGGAGGAGAGCUCUUGCCUUCUGGAAGAGGAAGCAACCUUUGCAGCUGUGAAACCUGAGAGAACAAUGGAGGUUGUGUAGACCAGAAGUUACAGGGGGCUGCUCUCAGGGCUUGAUGCCAGAGAUGUCCCACAGCAGCAAUCUUUUCUCUGUAAUAAAUUCUAAACUUCUCUUGACCUUAUUGCUGCAUUCUGGGCUGAAAUACAUCUGAACAACUGAUGGGAGGCUGAAUUUGAACUCAGCUUUUUAUUCCUGCCUUAGCCAUGCAGUGGAAGAACAUCUCAUACCACACCCUCCAUCUUGCUGUUGUGAAUUAAGUUGCUUUUUCAAGUGGUUCCUCACAUGCAGAUAUGUGCAAAAAUUGGAACUGAAUUAUUACUUUGUCCUCAGAGAAUUAAAACCUUUAAAAAUGCCUGCUUCUUGCCAAAUGAGACGUAAGAUCCUGAUUUACACCAUCAGUUUUCUAUACAUUGCAAGACAAAGGUGUUCAGGCUUUGGGACAUCUGUGCAGCUGGUGCUGGCUGUCAGCUGGAGGUACAACGACUGAUACUGAACUGAUAAGGCUGGCUCUAAGUGGUGGCUUUGAGGGGAUGGUCUAGGCUAUGUUAGCUGUGUCCUCCAGGGUAGCAUUCCUCUGAUCUAAAAUAUAUCCCCUGAAUGUGUUUUUGUGAGCUGAAUGAUGAUUUGCACAGAGU